UACGUAGGGUGCAAGCGUUAAUCGGAAUUACUGGGCGUAAAGCGUGCGCAGGCGGUUUUGUAAGUCUGACGUGAAAUCCCCGGGCUCAACCUGGGAACUGCGUUGGAGACUGCAAGGCUAGAAUCUGGCAGAGGGGGGUAGAAUUCCACGUGUAGCAGUGAAAUGCGUAGAGAUGUGGAGGAACACCGAUGGCGAAGGCAGCCCCCUGGGUCAAGAUUGACGCUCAUGCACGAAAGCGUGGGGAGCGAACAGG
rnacentral:rRNA from 1 species